GUAGGUGGCAAGCGUUGUCCGGAAUUAUUGGGCGUAAAGCGCGCGCAGGCGGUUCUUUAAGUCUGAUGUGAAAGCCCACGGCUCAACCGUGGAGGGUCAUUGGAAACUGGAGAACUUGAGUACAGAAGAGGAAAGCGGAAUUCCACGUGUAGCGGUGAAAUGCGUGGAGAUGUGGAGGAACACCAGUGGCGAAGGCGGCUUUCUGGUCUGUAACUGACGCUGAGGCGCGAAAGCGUGGGGAGCAAACAGGGAUUAGAUACCCUGGUAGUCCACGCCGUAAACGAUGAGUGCUAAGUGUUAGGGGGUUUCCGCCCCCUUAGUGCUGCAGCUAACGCAUUAAGCACUCCGCCUGGGGAGUACGGCCGCAAGGCUG
rnacentral:rRNA from 1 species